rnacentral:rRNA from 1 species
AUUGAACGCUGGCGGCAGGCCUAACACAUGCAAGUCGAACGAGUGGCGGACGGGUGAGUAAUGUCUGGUAAACUGACUGAUGGAGGGGGAUACCUCCUGGAAACUGUAGCUAAUACCGCAUACCAUCGGAGGUGCCCAGAUGGGAUUAGCUAGUAGGUGGGGUAAAGGUUCACCUAGGCGACGAUCCCUAGCUGGUCAGAGCGGAUGACCAGCCACACUGGAACGUAGACACGGUCCAGAAUCCGACGGGAGUCAGCAGUGGGGAAUAUUGCACAAUGGGCGCAAUCCUGAUGCAGCCAUGCCGCGUGUAUGAAGAAGGCCUUCGGGUUGUAAAGUACUUGCAGCGGGGAGGCGUUACCCGCAGAAGAAGCACCGGCUAACUCCGUGCCAGCAGCCGCGGUAAUAC